ensembl:lncRNA
GGUUGCCUUAACAGAUGAAACAGAAGCCUUAACGUUUGACCCAGAGAGUAGGAGGGUAUGAACAGCUGCUGAUGUAUUUUUUUUCUCCAUUUGUUCUUUUCUUUUUCUUUUUUUGUUCUCUUUCCAUCUGGGUCGAUAAAUGUGCAUGGUGCCUUUUUUUUAUUGAGAGUCUCGGUUUUAUGGAUAAAGAAAAACAAGCAAAGAGAAAAACAUCAGGCUGCUCUGCUUCAUCCAUUUCAUGCUUGAACCUGUGGAAGCUCUUCUGCAGCAGAAGGGACUCCACAUGAACACUUUAAUAGGGACCAGGAGAAGUCAGAGAAAAUGGAGAAGAAGGCAACGAUCAGCAAUUAUUUCCUGUCGGGCAGCAUUUCAGGAAAUGGUUUAACUUGUGGGACCACGACAAUGCCUCUGUAUCCUGGACGUGCUUCAUCGCAUGCUGGAGGACAAUCCAGCCGAUCCUUUAGGAGAUGUAGUUUUUGUUUUUUUUACUCGGCUAAUAUGUACAAGCUGGCUACAUUUGCAACGGCCGUGUUUGUGUUAUCUUUGGAGGUUGUCAAAGGGAGUCACACAAGCAUUGACAUAGGAUAACAUUUCAAACACUAAUGAUUUUUGAAUAUAGAGAACAAAUCGCAACUGACUUGAUUGUCAGUGGGAGCGUGUAUCAUGUUAGUAUCUGUAAUCAGGAGAUGUUAUAUUUGUAUUAGCAUUGAUUUAACUAAGACAGAGAGCUAGUUUUGAAAGAAAAACAUUAAGAUACAGCACUAUGAUAGAGGCUCCACAGCCUUUUACUUUGAUACACUCCUCAACCUAACCGUUGCUGCAUACUGUGUAUCUUUAUGUCUGAUUAUCUGUUCGUCUUUGUGGAAGAGGGGGACUUUUGGACAAGUGACUUUGCAUCCUGUCAAUCAUGCACACUCCCAAUCAGCACAAAUACGCUCCUCAAUCUUGUAUGGAAACACUACUCUGCCUGUCUUCCCUCCUUUUAAUAGAUUAAUUGAUUGUAACAUCUGAUAUAAGCCAUACUUUCACUUUCACCCUCACACACUCUUCAAUCAUGUUUCGACAGUGUUUUUCCAACAAAUGUGCAAUUUUCCCUCUAUUUUCUCCCAAUUAUACGUGCAUGCACAAUCUUCGCUGUCACAUCAGGCUUGGGCUCAGAGCGUCGGGGUGUUGGCUUACACUACUCCAGUGGAGGGGCGGUUUAUUCACUCCACCCUUUCUUACAUGACUUCUAAACAAAUGUGAACAUUUGCACCUUCUUUACAGCUCCACUGUGUCUUCCUCCUCAUAUUUGCCAUCCACCCACUUAACUCUGCGCUUCUAUAAAGCACUUUGUCACUUGAUGCACUACAGCACUGACCUCUGCCCCCUCUGGUUGGCCGUGUGUCGUCUUCUGUAUCGUCGGCCUGCUAACGCAAUGCAAGUGAAUGUGUUGAUCGAGGCUUCGGAGCGACUGUCCCUGGUUUCUAUAUACAUGGAUGUUUUACUUUGUCAUAAAAUUUGAGGGUUUAUUUUUUAUGUCCUACUUUGUCCUUUUUUUUUAUUUGAAAGUAAAGAUGUAUAUUGCACUGUGUUGUACUGGCCAGUGUCCUAAAGUGAAUAAAUUCUUAAUAAAAUUUACUUGACU